rnacentral:lncRNA from 1 species
CCCCUGUACUAAAUUCGUCCCCCACUGUAACUUCUACUGACAGUACUGCAACCUUGCGAGAUAGUAAGGAAAUUCUUCAAAACGAUUCAGUUUACUAGUGACAGUGGCGUAGAUUCUUUGUUCUUUUCAGUUACUCUUUAAUUUUUCAUAAAUAAUUUUUGUAGUAGCGUGCUACAGUGUGUAUUAAAUUUUAAAUACUUAUAUUACUCUUCAAGCCAUGUUGUUCUACUCGUUUCGUCCAUAGAGGUUUCGUCACGAGCAGCAGCCAUGUUUUAUAUUACGAAAUUCCUAAAUCCGUCACCUUUGACGUCUAUUGGUGUCAACCGAUAAUGAGGAUAGUUCUAGUGUUGAAAACGUUUUUGACAAGAAAAGUGAAGAGAAAAAUGAAUCAGGUGUUCGUGGUGUCCUGAGAUGAGUUCAUCUUCAACCAAAGUCAAAAAUUUUGUUUAUGAUUUAUGUAUGGAUGUAUAAAUAGAUAUAACAUGUAUAAAAUGCAUAAACAUGUUCCUAUCUCAAUAAAUUUAAUAAAAUAAGUAUUAAUACUGUUUAAAUCAUGUUUUACAAAAAAAAAAUGAUAGAUUUUAUCUGGGAAUGGGUGGGGGACGGAAUUGAGAUACCAUUUUUAAAUAACCUAAAUUUGCCUUAUUUUGAUUUUUUAUUUAAUUUUGGUUAAAGAAAAUUUAUUGAGUAGAAUCGUAUUAGCAAAACUCUUAGGUAUAGAGUUGAGUUGCUUAAAUAAGUUGUUUCCAUUAUAUCUAAAUUAAAUUUCAGAAUUUAAGAUUUUGCUUAGGGGGACGGUAUUUGGACAUCUUACCUUAUUACUGUAAUUCAAUUGCAAUUGAUUAAUUUUAAUUUAAAAAAUAAAUUUAUCUCUACCGUUGGUAAUCUGAUUGACAGUUUAGUUCUUAAUAUCAAAUUUGUCGAAAAGGGUGAAACGGACUAUACCUAAUUUACCGUGGAAGGCUUGUGUUUUUUGUCUCCGAUUCGUUCAGAAUGUGUAUUUCUAUUUAAAUCGUAAAUAAAACCUUGAACCAUAUUUUUAAAAAUUAUUUUUAAGUAAAUUUAAAUUAUUCAAUUGUUUACAUAUUAGUAUAUCUAGUUUUUAGUUUGCCAAUUAUCACAUUGCAUUAUAUGGUACCAGACACACUUUUUAGAAACAAGUGUACUAAGCACCUACGAGUAUAUUAAAUUAACAUUAGUUAAAACCCACAACAACACAUAUAUGUACAUACGACUACAUAAUAAUAUAAUGUAUGAUAUCACGUAAAAUAAGGAAAUAUCCAGAAUAAUAGGUAUUAAAUUUGAAUUAUUGAUUAGAUUUUCAUUAUUUAUUUUAUAUACAGGAAUUUUUUAUGAUGAUAAAAAAAUAAUUUUCACCAAAUGUGGUUUAUGUUAAUGCCAGUUUAAUACCUUCAUUACACGUAUUCAAGUAACAUUGUGGAAUUACCCAAUUAAGUGACAUUACCGUUAACUACCUACAUAAUAAGUAUGUAAGUGAUAAAAUUAAAUUUAAUAGGAGUCCCAAAACUCAUGCAAUAUUUGAAUUUGGCGCCAUUUGGUAGUACAACAAAGUGUUGACAAAAAAAAAAAA